rnacentral:rRNA from 1 species
GGUAAUUCUGGAGCUAAUACAUGCAUAAAAGAUGUUUUUGUAAAAAAACAUUGCGUAUAUUAGUAUUAAAACCAAGCAUUCUUCGGGAUGUUUUGUGUUGAAACUGAAUAUAUCUGCUGAUCGUAUGGUCUUGUACCGACGACAUGUCAUUCAAGUGUCUGAUCUAUCAACUUUCUAUAUAAGUAUAUAGUACUUAUAUGGUUUUGACGGAUAACGGGGUAUUAGGGUACGACUCCGGAGAAAAUGCCUGAGAAACGGCGUUUACAUCCAAGGAAGGCAGCAGGCGCGAAAAUUACCCACUCUCAGUACGAGGAGGUAGUGACGAGAAAUGACNAAGAUCUAUUCCUUCGGGGAUGGAUCAUUGGAAUGGUUUGAUUUUAAAAUCAUUAAAGAGUAUCAAUGAGAGGGCAA